UUACUUUGUCAAAGAUUACAAAAAUUCAUCAAGUUGAAGGUUUUGUAUUCAAUUUCAUGGUCAGAUCAAAGGCUUAUUUCAGCAUUUACUAAACCAAGCAAAAAGACAAAAAGCUAGCAAAGGAAACAAAUUCAGCCGCGUGAUAGGAAAAAUGGUAUGGCUUAAUUUGAUUGCUUGAUGUUGAUGUUAAUGUUGAAAAUCGUAAUUAUUUUAGCAAGAUAAUUUCUGUUCUUGGAGGUAUAUGAUCAACUAGAGUUAGAUUUAUAUAGACAAAAGAAUUGUACAUCUUCCUGUUUUUCCUCCUUUAUGUCCAAACUUUUAGGUUAAUUAAAUUUGUUCUUUGAAUGUUUCAGCUUAAUUAAGUAUCUGCUGCAUGAAAUUUAUAUGCUAAUCUUUUCAAGUGGUUAUAUUUUUUUUAUAUAAAUGUGUAAAUGGAAAGUAGGCAGAGAGCUUGAAUGGCAUUGUAGGAUGCACAAUGCCAAUAUCCAGGAAUUUUCAGAUGUUUUAAUUGGAUGAUUGUUGAAUCUUAAGUUGGAAAUUAGCUAGAUCAUGCUAAAAGUCGAAGCAUUUAUAAAUCUGAGUUUCUUGUUUAUAAGCUAAGGCUUGUUCGGCAAAAGUUGUAGUAUGUAGCUAGUUUAUGUUAUCUAUUAGAAGUUAGCUAUCAAAUGAAUGAACUACUAAGUAUAUUAUCUUAAAGUUCCAAAAUAUACAGUACAUCAACCUUUAAAAUUUAUCAUUGAAUAAUUUUUUACUAAACAACAAGGCCACAUUUCACCUGUAGUAAUGUUUUGACUUGGUCAAAACCCUUAGAGUUACUAGUUGUUGUGUAAGAAACCCUUAACGUACUCACUUUUGUCAGAUCUAUUAAAACGCGUAGAUGAAAAGUAUAAUGUCCUUUUUGGAUUGUUUUUUUGUCGGCCACAUAAUAUAAAUAGCUUUAUAUCUUGAUAUGGAUCCGGUUUUUUUUAAUUUUUAUGUGCUUGACAUUAUUAAGCAUGGAUGAGCCUUUUGUAAUUAAUACUUCAAGAUCCUUUAGGAUCAACAAUUAUAACCAAAAAAAACUAAAGGAUAGUGUACGUGCCGUUCAAAAACACCUUAAGGCAAAAAUAAAAGAACCCGAUCUCUUAAUUAGACAAUCUAAAUUAAAGUUAGCUAUUCGAGAUUUCAAAAUGGUGGCUAUUUAGAAAUCUAGACUAGGGAUGAUUGCUUUUAGUAAGAAGCAUUUUUAAGCCUAGGCAUCUUAUCAUAGGAUUCAUAUCCCCUAACAUAAAUUACAUGACCAAUAAUUUACUGUUGACCUUGUAAAACCUAAUAAGGACAAUUAUAGAACCCCCAUCUACAUAAAUAUAGCAGAUCCCUAAGAAAACCAAUUACCAAGAUAAUAAAAGCCACAUAUCAUACAAUUAAUAAUAAUAUAAUUAAGCUAUUAUAUAUCUUCUUAAUUAAAUUGAUUGUGUGCUUUCUUUAGUUCAUACUGGUGAGCUAGCUACUUACCUAUAGUAUAGUAACAAGAAUAUAUUGAUCAUUGAGAUUAAUUUAGGAGGAGUUAGGUUUGUCUCUAAUUAUCCCUACAAAACGAGGAGAACGAGUUUCAUUAAUAGCAUAUAAAGUAUAAUUUUGCUUUCUAAUAUUAAUGUUUUGGUCAAAUUAAGUACAUGCUGCCUAACCAAAUCAAAACACGGCAUGCCAAAUCUAGGAGCAUCGGAGUUCAUAAGCUUAUCUUGGAGGAAGGAUGAAGUUUGUUAAUGCCUAAUAAUGGGUUAGUUCUUGAUGGAGUAUCCCAAAGGCGGGCGUUGAAUUAUUGACACUUCGACCUAGGCAUGGACACUUGAUUUUGGACCAAAACCUUGAUAGUUGUGUAUUGGAUACAUUAGUUCUUGUUUACAAUCAAUCAUUCCCUAAUUAAGCUCCUUAAUAUAUAAAAGCUUCAUACAUAAUUAGUCCCUCUUAUAACCAAAGUAAGCCUUAAAAUUUCAGGGAGGUACCAAGCACCUAUGAAAGAAAGAUCAAGCAUAGUACAUACAAUUCAGAUCAGUUAGAUCAGAUACCUAAUUAAGCUACUCAAAAUCGGUUUUGUCAUCAAACUAGAUGAUUUGAUAACGUAUACACAGAAGAUUAAUUUUUGGUAUGAUGCUGAUUAAAUCGAAAAUAAACUAUUUACUGAAGAAACUGAAAGAAAGAUUAGGGUUAACAACAAAGUAAUGAGGAAAAACCUUUAUGACAAAAAGAUGUCAGGUAAAAAAAGAUCCUUAAGUCAAAGCUUUAGGUCUUUGUAAUUAAAUCCAAUUAUAAAGCUAAUUAAAGCUUAAAUUCUUGAAAAAACCACAUUAUUAUUAUAAUUAUUGAUUGAUCUAACAUCUUCCAUGACUACUACAGAGAUCUAAGAAAACAUUACUAUAGGAGGCAGAUAAUACGAAAUUAGGGUUUCGAUCUAAAAGGUAUCAACAAAUAUUUAUCUAGAAUCUAAGGUAGAGAGAUUUAUAUAGGGAUUCUAUUUAAUCAUUGUAAUCAAAGCUCAUGCUUUGAUCAACGAAAAAAAAAAAAAAA